rnacentral:lncRNA from 1 species
UCAGGGAGAAUAUUUUGGUCUCAUGAUAUCUAAUAUAACCAGAAUGUAAAUAAGCUGCAGUUUGGAGGGAAUCUUAUACCAUUUGGGGCUUGAAAACUCAUUCAGAGAGGUAUUAACUAGUACUGAGAAAAGAGGAUCAAGAGUUACAUAAGAGUCCCAGCCCUUUGAGUCAUCACCUCCAGGAGGCAAAAUAGUACAAGGACCCUAGUGAUCUGCAUUCUUACAGUGGCUAUGGGGCAAAGCCAUCCUAAGCAAGCUAGCUCUGGGGUGCCAUGCUCCCCUGCUAUUAAAUUAAGAAGUUUGUAACUAGACCUAAAAUUCUGUGAUUUUACAGCUAUCAUGUGCCCACAAGAAAAAGUCAUCGCUGUCUUCCCAUGCUUGGCAGAACACACACCCUCUCCAUCAAGACAAUGGGAGGGCAUACAGCCCUUCAACAGCUCCACCUUUCCAGGGUAGAAUGUUCUCACCAGUACUUGCGGAGGAAAAUGAGAAGAAAUGUUCACCUGGAGGAUGAGAGUUGUGCCAGAUUUGAAACUGAAUUUGAAGUCCAAAUUCCUGUGGUGGGGACCACAUUUCUUUGACCAGGCUCUUCCAUUUCUUUAUGUGAGCACAGCUCCCAGCAGGAAAUACUCAUUUCUCAAACUUUUCUUGAGACCAUUAAAUCAGUACUACAGACAGUCAGCAGUUGAAUGGACACAUCCUUUUUAUUGGCUCCCUGAUAAUCUGCACAGUGAAAUAUGGAAUUGUUCUGUACGGAGUUACCAGCUUUGGAAGCAAAAUAAGGUACCUUUCUUUCAAUAUUCUAAUUAAGUUACUCUAACCCCUCAAUCCACCUGUGGAGGGAAGAUUUCUUCCAUCCCUGAGGUCUUCCUUCCCAAAAGAAGUCCCAAGACUGAGAGGGGUUUAUGCAAUCCAGUCAAUCUGUUUUGAUGAUCAACUAUUUUAGAAAAGAAAAUAGAAUAACUUCCACGGUCAGAGUUUCAGUCUGUUCGGGCUACUGUAACAAAAACACCAUAGAUUGUGUGGCGUAAACUCAUGGUUCUGGAGGCUGGGAAGUCCAAGAUCAAGGUCGUAUUUGGUGUCUGGUGAUUCAUAGAGGGACCUCUUCUCCCUGUGUUCUUACGUGGUGGGAGGAUUAAAGUAGCUCUCUGGUGUCUUUUUGAUGAGGGCACUAAUCUCAUUCAUGAAGCUUCCAUCUGCAUCACCGAAUCACCUCCCAAAGGCCCCAUCUCCAAAUACCAUCACGUCAGGUGUUAGGAUUUCAGCAUAGGAAUUUGGGGAAACACAGAUAUUCAGUCUAGAGCAGUCAGUCACAUGGUCAUUGGCCUUCAGUUGCAGUGGUUGUUGUUGCCACUAUGCCAAUGUAGUCUUCGCCUGCUGAAGAGAGAACAGCACAUCUGCCACUGCUGACUUGAUGGGAAUUUCUCCCUCUUCAUGGGAGAGAAGCAUCGGUGUCUUGUUCAACUAAGAUUACUUUCAGCCCUAUGGU